rnacentral:rRNA from 1 species
AUUCCAGCUCCAAUAGCGUAUAUUAAAGUUGUUGCGGUUAAAAAGCUCGUAGUUGGAUUUCUGGUACAAUGCGCCUGGCCCGCGGCGGUUACGCCUGUGAGUGCCGGUGCGCGUUUGCCAUCCUUCUAGAAAACGUUUCUACCCUUAACUGGGCCGGACUCGCGAUCUAGAUCUUUUACUUUGAAAAAAUUAAAGUGUUUAAAGCAGGCUUUUGCUGUGAAUACAUUAGCAUGGAAUAAUAAUCUAGAACUUCGGUUCUAUUUUGUUGGUUUCUAGUACUGAAGUAAUGAUUGAUAGGGAUAGUUGGGGGUGCUAGUAUUGGCCGGCCAGAGGUGAAAUUCUUGGAUUCGGUCAAGACUAACUUAUGCGAAAGCAUUCACCAAGGAUGUCUUCAUCG